UCAAGAAACUUCCACAAUGGGCGAAAGCCUGAUGGAGCGACGUCGCGUGAUGGACGAAGUGCUUCGGCACGUAAACAUCUUUUAUGUGGGACGAAAUUAUUGACGGUACCACAUGAAUAAGGGGCUCCUAACUCUGUGCCAGCAGGAGCGGUAAUACAGAGGCCCCAAGCGUUAUCCGGAAUCACUGGGCGUAAAGGGUGUCGAGGCGGUCAUGUUAGUCGUUCGUAAAAUCCGUGGGCUCAACCUACGGCCGGCGAGCGAAACGGCAUGACUUGAAGUUGGGAGAGGUGCAUGGAACUCACGGUGUAGGGGUGAAAUCCGUUGAUAUCGUGGGGAACACCAAAGGCGAAGGCAGUGCACUGGCCCAAAUCUGACGCUCACACACGAAAGCUAGGGUAGCGAACGGGAUUAGAUACCCCCGUAGUCCCUGAGCGGGCUGGCAAGGCGCAU
rnacentral:rRNA from 1 species